ACGGACAGGGUUCACCGAAGGGAGAUCGUCGACGGUGUGAGAUUCGAGUAGGUCGACACCAAAUCGUCACUAUAAAUAGAGGCACAAUGUCAUGCAUAAGGGGGCAACGUCUUGAGUGAAAUCGCUUGACCUCCAAAGUUAUAAUCCUUUUUGUCUUCGGACUUCUAUCUGAGCCUCCGAAGAUACAAUUGGAAUUUUUUGUGAUCAAGAAGUGAUAAGAAAGAAAUCAUAUCAGUAAUGGCUUAUCUCAGUUAUAUUUACUUAUUCUACUUCUCCUGAAUCUGCAACCUGUAAUAAUCUUCUUCCCCCCAAUCUAUCCCUCAUCCGGGAAUGGAUUGAAGGAACAGAGACCUAAUCUCUUUAAUUGUGUUGCCCUGUUUUGGUUUUCUUCUGGAAUCUUAACAGGUGACCAACAUAUAUUUUAGAAAAACACUUGAAUUUAUAUCUAAUAAAUUUGUGCGUGUCUUUAUAUAUGCAUUGAGUAAAAAAAUUAUCGACGACAAACUUGUGCAUGCCUAUAUAGCCCACGCUUUUUAUAAAUCCUGGAUCCGCCACUCAUACAUGCAAUGGAUAUACAUUUAGUGUCA
rnacentral:lncRNA from 7 species